AUUGGUUUUACUUCAGUUGGAUAUAAAUGAUUUUAUAAAGUUAAAUAAUAUUGUUUUAAUUAUUAUCAUAUUAGUUGUGAAAAUGGCUUUCUACUUCUCGUGGUAGUUUAUUUUUAAAGAAAAAGGUUUCCGUGUGUAAAAUGCUUUUAAAAAGGGUUUUUCGCUUUUCAUAAGUUUUUGUAUUUUAAAAUAAGUUUCCGGAUGGAAAAACGUUUUAAACUGAUAGAUGUGGAUUUAUAAAUAAAAUAUUAUAAUCUUGUGAUUGACCGAAUGUGAUUCGUAUUUUGUGAUGUGGUGAAUGUAUAUAGUUGUAUACAUACUGUGGUUGUAUCUUGUACUUGUGCGACGUCAUACAAAUAUAGAAAAAAAACUCUGUCCGUGUGAACAGUGGAUUUUCUAUAUUUAUGACGGAUCUAACAUCUCCUGGGGUCAAGACUUAAAAAAAAAAAAAAAUUAGACACUUCCGCAUCAAUUCUAACACUUCAAAGGAACCCAGAGCAUGACAAGUUUAUUAGGAAGUGUUGAUGAGAUUAAGUUGUUGAAUAUGAAGUCUAGAUUGUACUUAUCCUUAGGAAGUUCAAGCCCAAUAAAUAAAAGCUUUGGAAUCCACGAAAGCUGUAGCGUAGAAACCUGGGAACUCCGCUCCAAGAUUUAUUUAUUUGUGUAGCCUCUUUAUAAAAAAAAAAAAUUCCUAUCUAGCCCCCUUUUGAAAAAUAUUCCCAAUCUAGCCUCAUUUUUAUAAAUUAGAAAAAAGAAUGAUAAGUUAAUAAUUUUUAUAUAGAUUAAUAUGUUAAGUGGGUGGAGAUUAUCUCUUUUUCUCUCCUUUUAAAUUAAGUGAAUAUAAUGUGAUUUUAUAUAUGAACACUUAAUAAAAAAUUUAUUUAUUAAUAAUAAUAUUUCUAAAUUAUAAUUUUUUAUUAGUACUAUUAGUACUUAAUUUGAUUAUACAAGUCAAUAUGAUUUAAAAGUGUUCAUAUAUAAAAUCACAUUACAUUCACUUAAUUUAAAAGGAGAGAGAAAAAAGAUAAUCUCCACCUACUUAACAUAUUAAUCUAUAUAAAAAUUAUUAACUUAUCGUUUUUUUUUCUAAUCUAUAAAAAUGAGACUAGAUUGAAAAUAUUUUUCAAAAAGGAGGCUAGGUAAAAAAAAAUUUUUGUAAAGAAGCUAGACAAGUAAAUAGUUCCCACUCCAAUACGAUCACUAUUCUUUCCACUUUCCACUUUAUUUAUCCUUUACGCAUGGCUUUUCCUAAAUAGUUAAGAUUCUCUCUUUCUCUCUCCAUAUUCCACUCCACUAUUAUGUUUUUUUUUUUUCGAGAAAGAGGUAGUGCGCUACCUACUUCAUUCAUUAAGCAAAAUGAACUAAGCGUACAAUAUGGAAGCAGUUAGGGCCUCCGAAAAAGAUACAGCAAAAAAAUACAAGGCGGGAAGGAAAUGUAGAGAGAGGAAGGGAGAAAAGAGUAGAAAAGUGGUCAGAGG
rnacentral:lncRNA from 1 species